rnacentral:snoRNA from 1 species
UCUUUACCUAUGAUGAGUUGCGAAAUUUAUUGCCUACAUUGUUUGAUUAACCUGUGAGAAAAUUUGCAACAUCUGAGGAUAAAA